rnacentral:rRNA from 1 species
UACGUAGGGGGCAAGCGUUGUCCGGAUUUAUUGGGCGUAAAGAGCGUGUAGGCGGCCAUACAGGUCCGUUGUGAAAACUGGAGGCUUAACCUCCAGACGUCGAUGGAAACCGUAUGGCUAGAGUCCGGAAGAGGAGAGUGGAAUUCCUGGUGUAGCGGUGAAAUGCGCAGAUAUCAGGAAGAACACCCGUGGCGAAGGCGGCUCUCUGGGACGGCACUGACGCUGAGACGCGAAAGCGUGGGGAGCGAACAGG